GCAGUCGACGGUGAGCAGAGCUUGCUCUGUGGAUCAGUGGCGAACGGGUGAGUAACACGUGAGCAAUCUGCCCCUGACUCUGGGAUAAGCGCUGGAAACGGCGUCUAAUACCGGAUACGAGCUGCGACCGCAUGGUCAGUAGCUGGAAAGAAUUUCGGUCAGGGAUGAGCUCGCGGCCUAUCAGCUUGUUGGUGAGGUAAUGGCUCACCAAGGCGUCGACGGGUAGCCGGCCUGAGAGGGUGACCGGCCACACUGGGACUGAGACACGGCCCAGACUCCUACGGGAGGCAGCAGUGGGGAAUAUUGCACAAUGGGCGAAAGCCUGAUGCAGCAACGCCGCGUGAGGGAUGACGGCCUUCGGGUUGUAAACCUCUUUUAGCAGGGAAGAAGCGAAAGUGACGGUACCUGCAGAAAAAGCGCCGGCUAACUACGUGCCAGCAGCCGCGGUAAUACGUAGGGCGCAAGCGUUAUCCGGAAUUAUUGGGCGUAAAGAGCUCGUAGGCGGUCUGUCGCGUCUGCUGUGAAAACCCGAGGCUCAACCUCGGGCCUGCAGUGGGUACGGGCAGACUAGAGUGCGGUAGGGGAGAUUGGAAUUCCUGGUGUAGCGGUGGAAUGCGCAGAUAUCAGGAGGAACACCGAUGGCGAAGGCAGAUCUCUGGGCCGUAACUGACGCUGAGGAGCGAAAGGGUGGGGAGCAAACAGGCUUAGAUACCCUGGUAGUCCACCCCGUAAACGUUGGGAACUAGUUGUGGGGUCCAUUCCACGGAUUCCGUGACGCAGCUAACGCAUUAAGUUCCCCGCCUGGGGAGUACGGCCGCAAGGCUAAAACUCAAAGGAAUUGACGGGGACCCGCACAAGCGGCGGAGCAUGCGGAUUAAUUCGAUGCAACGCGAAGAACCUUACCAAGGCUUGACAUAUAGAGGAAACGUCUGGAAACAGUCGCCCCGCAAGGUCUCUAUACAGGUGGUGCAUGGUUGUCGUCAGCUCGUGUCGUGAGAUGUUGGGUUAAGUCCCGCAACGAGCGCAACCCUCGUUCUAUGUUGCCAGCACGUAAUGGUGGGAACUCAUGGGAUACUGCCGGGGUCAACUCGGAGGAAGGUGGGGAUGACGUCAAAUCAUCAUGCCCCUUAUGUCUUGGGCUUCACGCAUGCUACAAUGGCCGGUACAAAGGGCUGCAAUACCGUGAGGUGGAGCGAAUCCCAAAAAGCCGGUCCCAGUUCGGAUUGAGGUCUGCAACUCGACCUCAUGAAGUCGGAGUCGCUA
rnacentral:rRNA from 1 species